UGCGUAGGCGGUUAUGUGUGUCAGAUGUGAAAGCCCAUGGCUCAACCAUGGAACUGCAUUUGAAACUGCAUAACUUGAGUAUCGGAGAGGUAGAUGGAAUUCUAGGUGUAGCGGUGAAAUGCGUAGAUAUCUAGAAGAACACCAGCGGCGAAAGCGAUCUACUGGACGAAUACUGACGCUGAGGCACGAAAGCCCAGGGGAGCGAAGA
rnacentral:rRNA from 1 species